GGUGAUGCUCAGUUGAGCAACCCAUUGGAUGUGCUGGAAUACAAUGCUGAUCUUUAAUUACUCACACUGAAAACAGGGAAGGAAAGUAUGAGUGGUUUCCAUUGACCUCUCCCUCAUCUGCAAACUCAGGACUGGCUGCUAGAAUAAACAUCCUUUCCCAGGAUGUGUGUGCCUGUACCUCAGUGGGGUCACUGACUGAAAGGACUUGCUGACAGAGAAGAUGGUGCUGGAUCCAUGGGUUGGCUUCCAAGAUUUUCAAACGAGCUGUAAAACCAAUCUUCUCCAUUUCACUAAAUCAUUUAUCUUCCUCUUGUCUAUUUUUACCUUCUAAACUACACAUGAGGAUAAAACUCCCAAGCUGGUGCUGAAAAAGAAACAGCAGCAGAGUGGAGGAAGGACUGAUGCUGCAUCCAGAGCCUGUGUUCUGCUGCUCCUGUGCCCAGUAUGUGAAUUAACCUCUGUGAUAUGGAUAGUCACACCAUUAACUCACAUGCCACAGCCCAACACUUCUCAUUUUUUCCAUUUCAGGGUCCUUAUCCCAUCAUUAUGAUUUAGGUUCCAGUUGCCUUAUGGUAUUUUUCCAGUCAGCUUAGUGAUGAAUUGCCCACUUCAUCACUAAUCCCAGUAUGAGAUCUAGCACAUUAAUCAGUCUAUUUAGCAAGCCUAAUAAACAGCAUAUCUUUGA